UUGCAUGAUUUAGUAGCAUACAAAUUUAUCUCAUUCAAAUGAAGAACAAUCAUCUUUUCUUUUUUUUAGCGAGCAGAAUCAAAAAUAUAACAAACAGUAACAACGGAUUCCCAUCUCCCUAUUUUGCAAUAGAAAAUAGAUCAUAUUCACGUAUACAGUAUAAAUGAAAAGCAAACCGUUACAAAAAAUCCAAAAAAAAAUAAAAAAACAGAUAAAAAAUAUAAACAAGGACUAAGCAGAAAGAUAAGAUUGGGAAAAAGAACUCCGCAAAAAGUAUUCGAGAGAAAAAGAGAGUUACUUUCAAUAAACAGAAUAAAGAUGAACCAAAUUUUGAUACCUCAAUGUUCAGAACGAUUUAAUUCUGGACUGAUUUGGUUGGUGGCAACUGGCAACAGACAAAAUUCAUAAUGCAUUUGUAAAGGACUAAGAUGGUACAAUUUAUGACAUGCAUGUAAAAUU
rnacentral:lncRNA from 1 species